GAGUGAGGGGGUGACUAGUGACAGAGUGAGGGAAGGGGUGACUAGUGACAGAGUGAGGGAGGUGGUGACUGUCACUAGUCACCACCUCCCUCACUCUGUCACUAGUCACCACCUCCCUCUGUCACUACUCAAUCCCUCCUUCUGUCACUAGUCACCCCCUUUGUCCCUUACUCUGUCACUAGUCACCCCCUAACUC